ACGCUCGACACCUACGGAGGCAGCAGUGGGGAAUAUUGCACAAUGGGGGAAACCCUGAUGCAGCGACGCCGCGUGAGUGAAGAAGUAUUUCGGUAUGUAAAGCUCUAUCAGCAGGGAAGAAAAUGACGGUACCUGACUAAGAAGCCCCGGCUAACUACGUGCCAGUAGCCGCGGUAAUCUGAGCGGGCUGGCAAGGC
rnacentral:rRNA from 1 species